CCCAGCACGUCAUCGAGCGCCCCUAAACGGCGCAACUCCGGCUGCACCAUGUCUUCGAGAUCCUCCAUCAGCUGCUCCUCCUCCCUCCAGCAUGCCGCCCUGUCCCACCAUGGCUGCUCGCAGGAGGUGCUCCAGCAGGCAUCCACCGGCAAGAUAGGCAGGAAAACUACUAUCGUGUGUGGCUGCGGCAGGUUCUUCUCGCCAUUGCCUGAGAGAAGCAUCGCUGGUUGGGAGAGUUCGAAGGUCAGAGUAUGAAGUUCGACAUGGAAAAUUGUUGUAGAUUGCAUUACUUGAGGAUUUUCCAUGUGUUCUGCAUUUUAGGUAGCGGAGAAUCAGUAAGUUCUACUACUGGUGCACGCCAAGUUCAAGGAUUUUGCCAUGCUUGAGCAUCCACUGGCUCCGACCUCCAACCACUGUCAUGCGCCUGGGAUCCGCAAUCUCCGACCUCGCAUGGACCUCGUCUAGUUUCUCUAUCCCGAGUGCCGCCGCCGGCUUCCCUGCAGUAUGGCUUCGGUUCCCUCUCCGGAUGCGUCUGCGCCAACCAUCUCUAUGAGCCUAUUCCUUCGCUGGACUACUCCUUCCACCAGCAGCCCCCCUAGCAAACCUCAUGUCUCAUAUUUGUUCUUAUUUUCUUGCAGGAUGCAUCAAAAAGCCAGAUUCACAAAUUCAUCUUCUAUAUGCUUUUCAGUUCAUCAACUUCCCAUUGGUAAGUCCAAUUUAUUUAGGGUUUCAAUCUUCUUCCUAUAGCACUUGUGCUUGAUAAUGAUGUUGUACACAAAAUGGCUUAUGAGAUAUCUGGAUAAUGUGUAUACUAAUGAUUUUUGGUUAAUAUUUUGUAUGAUUCAUUUGGCAAAGAAGAUUCUUCUUCUUUGUAGAGCUUUAUACAACACUUCUGUCAUCAUAGCCUUUUCACGUCUGUACAUCUACAUGAAAAGGUUCGCCUACAAACUAGGGUUCACUUGGGUUAAAAAAGUAUAUUUUACACACACACAAUGCUUGAAUUUCGAUUACUAAUGCUUAGUAAGUACACUCUGUUUUGGGGAGUGCACAUCUUGCUUAGAAAACAUGGGCAAGUUCAUGAAGAGAAAAAAAUUAUACGUUCAAAAUCUAGGAAAGCGGUAAUCCAUAGGCCCAUGCUGCAGUGCUGAUGCAUACAUGCCUGCUUCUACCUGCAGUUUUACUAGUUGUUUGUUGAACAUUCCACUGUGUGUUUUUAGAUGAUAAGUGCCAGUGCCAUGGUUGAUGGUGGUAUACAUAAAAACAAUGAAUUGUUGCAGUGUAACUGAACUAGAGCAUCGUAGGCUAAUUAAUUGUAGUUUCUUGUUGUUGUGUGCACCAUGUUUGUAAGAAUGUUGUUGCUAGAUGGCCACAAAAAAUAGAGCUUAAUUAGUCUCUGCAAUACGAUGGUUGGCUGGAGAAUUCUUUUUUCGUGUCUAGAGAAAGAUAUAUCUAUACUAUGUGUAUCAGUUCAUGAUAUAAUUUUUCAUCAGUUCAUAAUUCUGUCUUCUUAUGAUAGAAAAAUAUACUAGUUUGGAUCUUCAUUAGUUUCAGCCACCCCGCAACCCAGCCAGCGACUCCGUCAUCUCCCCGUACCGGAUCGAGCUCCAGAUCAAUGCCCCCAUCUACACUUAUGGCAUUCAUGCUUGGCGUUUUGGCGUUGUCUGUGUGUGGUCUUGCGGGCGUCUCACCUCAAACGCAUCCCAGGAUGAUGCACGAGUUGCUGAGGAAACGCACAAGCCCGUGGCCUCUCGACCACAACUUCGUCUCAUGGAAGCUGUUUGAUGUGGACAGCCAGUACGAAUUCAAGUCUAAGUGGCUCAUCGAGGAGAAAAAGAAGAGGAACUCGAGUGGUUUCUCUAUGGAGAAGGGCAGAAGACAUUUUUCUCUGAACAUACUUGUUGAUAUGCCCAUGAGAACAGGUACAUUUUUCGACAGAUUUUUGUGUUGCUGACGAGGGCUACACAACUUGUAUUUACAUGUUGAACUUAAGCGUAUCCUCUAUAAAGUUCGUGGAUGUGUGGAUGUUAUUUUGACAUUGAACUGUUAUG